UAAUACGGAGGGUGCAAGCGUUGUUCGGAAUCACUGGGCGUAAAGGGAGCGCAGGCGGUUUGUCAAGUCAGAUGUGAAAGCCCACGGCUCAACCGUGGAAGUGCAUUUGAAACUGGCAGACUUGAGUAUCAGAGGGGAAAGUGGAAUUCCCGGUGUAGAGGUGAAAUUCGUAGAUAUCGGGAGGAAUACCGGUGGCGAAGGCGACUUUCUGGCUGAAUACUGACGCUGAGGCUCGAAAGCGUGGGGAGCAAACAGGAUUAGAUACCCUGGUAGUCCACGCCGUAAACGAUGUGCACUAGAUGUAGGAGGUAUUGAUCCCUUCUGUGUCGCCGCUAACGCAUUAAGUGCACCGCCUGGGGAGUACGGUCGCAAGAUUA
rnacentral:rRNA from 1 species